rnacentral:rRNA from 1 species
AGAGUUUGAUCCUGGCUCAGGAUGAACGCUGGCGGCGUGCCUAACACAUGCAAGUCGAACGGAGUUCUUAAGGAAUGCGACUUCGGUCAAAUGACUUUUGAACUUAGUGGCGGACGGGUGAGUAACGCGUGAGCAACCUGCCUUUCAGAGGGGGAUAACAUUUGGAAACAGAUGCUAAUACCGCAUAAGAUUACAGUACCGCAUGAUACAGUGAUCAAAGGAGCAAUCCGCUGAAAGAUGGGCUCGCGUCCGAUUAGAUAGUUGGUGAGGUAACGGCUCACCAAGUCGACGAUCGGUAGCCGGACUGAGAGGUUGAACGGCCACAUUGGGACUGAGACACGGCCCAGACUCCUACGGGAGGCAGCAGUGGGGAAUAUUGCACAAUGGGCGAAAGCCUGAUGCAGCAACGCCGCGUGAGGGAAGACGGUUUUCGGAUUGUAAACCUCUGUUUUCGGUGACGAACAAAUGACGGUAACCGAGUAGGAAGCCACGGCUAACUACGUGCCAGCAGCCGCGGUAAUACGUAGGUGGCAAGCGUUAUCCGGAAUUACUGGGUGUAAAGGGAGCGCAGGCGGGAUAGCAAGUCAGUUGUGAAAACUAUGGGCUCAACCCAUAAACUGCAGUUGAAACUGUUAUUCUUGAGUGGAGUAGAGGCAAGCGGAAUUCCGAGUGUAGCGGUGAAAUGCGUAGAUAUUCGGAGGAACACCAGUGGCGAAGGCGGCUUGCUGGGCUCUAACUGACGCUGAGGCUCGAAAGUGUGGGGAGCAAACAGGAUUAGAUACCCUGGUAGUCCACACUGUAAACGAUGAUUGCUAGGUGGGGGGGGUCUGACCCCCUCCGUGCCGGAG